rnacentral:rRNA from 1 species
AGGGAAUCUUCCGCAAUGGACGAAAGUCCGACGGAGCAACGCCGCGUGAGUGAAGAAGGUCUUCGGAUCGUAAAACUCUGUUGUUAGGGAAGAACAAGUAUCGUUCGAAUAGGGCGGUACCUUGACGGUACCUAACCAGAAAGCCACGGCUAACUACGUGCCAGCAGCCGCGGUAAUACGUAGGUGGCAAGCGUUGUCCGGAAUUAUUGGGCGUAAAGCGCGCGCAGGCGGUCUUUUAAGUAUGAUGUGAAAGCCCACGGCUCAACCGUGGAGGGUCAUUGGAAACUGGAAGACUUGAGUGCAGAAGAGGAGAGUGGAAUUCCACGUGUAGCGGUGAAAUGCGUAGAGAUUAGGAAGAAUACCAGUGGCGAAGGCGGCUUUCUGGACUGUAACUGACGCUGAGGCAUGAAAGCGUGGGGAGCAAAC